rnacentral:rRNA from 1 species
UACGAAGGGGGCUAGCGUUGUUCGGAAUUACUGGGCGUAAAGCGCGCGCAGGCGGUCUUCCAAGUCAGUGGUGAAAGCCCGGAGCUCAACUCCGGAACUGCCAUUGAAACUGUUAGACUUGAGGAUGAGAGAGGUGAGUGGAAUUCCCAGUGUAGAGGUGAAAUUCGUAGAUAUUGGGAAGAACACCAGUGGCGAAGGCGACUUACUGGACACAUAUUGACGCUGAGGUGCGAAAGCGUGGGGAGCAAACAGG